rnacentral:rRNA from 1 species
AGUGAACGCUGGCGGUAGACCUAACACAUGCAAGUCGAACGGCAGCACAGUAAGAGCUUGCUCUUACGGGUGGCGAGUGGCGGACGGGUGAGGAAUACAUCGGAAUCUACUUUUUCGUGGGGGAUAACGUAGGGAAACUUACGCUAAUACCGCAUACGACCUACGGGUGAAAGCAGUGGAUCUUCGGACCUUGCGCGACUGAAUGAGCCGAUGUCGGAUUAGCUAGUUGGCGGGGUAAAGGCCCACCAAGGCGACGAUCCGUAGCUGGUCUGAGAGGAUGAUCAGCCACACUGGAACUGAGACACGGUCCAGACUCCUACGGGAGGCAGCAGUGGGGAAUAUUGGACAAUGGGCGCAAGCCUGAUCCAGCCAUACCGCGUGGGUGAAGAAGGCCUUCGGGUUGUAAAGCCCUUUUGUUGGGAAAGAAAAGCAGCAGGUUAAUACCCCGCUGUUCUGACGGUACCCAAAGAAUAAGCACCGGCUAACUUCGUG